rnacentral:rRNA from 1 species
AAUGAACGCUGGCGGCGUGCNAACACAUGCAAGUCGGAUGUGCCGCAAGGUGCAUGGCAGACGGGUGAGUAACGCGUGGGGAAUCUACCUUUUUGUGGGGAAUAACGCUCCGAAAGGAGUGGUAAUACCGCAUGAGACCUUCGACUGGGAUGUCGGAGGUGAAACCUGGGGACCGCAAGGCCUGGGGCAAAAAGAGGAUCCUGCGCCUGAUUAGCUAGUUGGCGGGGUAAUGGCCCACCAAGGCGACGAUCAGUAGCCGGCCUGAGAGGGUGAUCGGCCACACUGGAACUGAGACACGGUCCAGACUCCUACGGGAGGCAGCAGUGGGGAAUUUUGCGCAAUGGACGAGAGUCUGACGCAGCAACGCCGCGUGGGUGAUGAAGGUCUUCGGACUGUAAAACCCUGUCGUCAGGGACGAAGGCAGCAGCGUUAAUAGCGUUGUUGCUUGACGGUACCUGGAGAGGAAGCCCCGGCUAACUCUGUGCCAGCAGCCGCGGUAAUACAGAGGGGCAAGCGUUAUUCGGAAUUAUUGGGCGUAAAGGGCGCGUAGGCGGUUUUUUAAGUCAGAUGUGUAAUCCCCGGGCUCAACCUGGGAACUGCAUCUGAGACUGGAAGGCUAGAGUACUGGAGAGGGUGGUGGAAUUCCUCGUGUAGCGGUGAAAUGCGUAGAGAUGAGGAGGAACACCAGUGGCGAAGGCGGCCACCUGGACAGUAACUGACGCUGAGGCGCGAAAGUGUGGGUAGCAAACAGGAUUAGAUACCCUGGUAGUCCACGCUGUAAACGAUGAACACUUGGUGUGGUGGGAGUUGACCCCUGCCGUGCCGGAGCUAACGCGUUAAGU